GAGUUUGAUCGUGGCUCAGGAUGAACGCUGGCGGCGUGCCUAAUACAUGCAAGUCGUACGAACAGCGGAAAGUGCUUGCACUUUCCAAGUAAGUGGCGAACGGGUGAGUAACACGUGAAUAACCUACCUCAAAGUCUGGGGAUAACCAUUGGAAACAGUGACUAAUACCCGGAUAAAACCUAGUAGCACAUGCUACAAGGUUAAAAGCUGCGUUUGCAGCGCUUUAAGAUGGAUUCGCGGUGCA
rnacentral:rRNA from 1 species